UACGUAGGGCGCAAGCGUCGUCCGGAAUUAUUGGGCGUAAAGAGCUCGUAGGUGGCUUGUCGCGUCUGCCGUGAAAGCCCAUGGCUUAACUGUGGGUCUGCGGUGGAUACGGGCAGGCUGGAGGCUGGUAGGGGCAAGCGGAAUUCCUGGUGUAGCGGUGAAAUGCGCAGAUAUCAGGAGGAACACCGGUGGCGAAGGCGGCUUGCUGGGCCAGUUCUGACGCUGAGGAGCGAAAGCGUGGGGAGCGAACAGG
rnacentral:rRNA from 1 species